rnacentral:rRNA from 1 species
UACGUAGGGGGCAAGCGUUGUCCGGAUUUAUUGGGCGUAAAGAGCGUGUAGGCGGCCAGGUAGGUGGGUUGUGAAAACUGGAGGCUCAACCCUUCAGACGUCGACCCAAACCCCCCUGGCUAGAGUCCGGAAGAGGAGAAUGGAAUUCCCGGUGUAGCGGUGAAAUGCGCAGAUAUCGGGAAGAACACCCGUGGCGAAGGCGGUUCUCUGGGACGGUACUGACGCUGAGACGCGAAAGCGUGGGAGCGAACAGGAUAGAU